GACGAACGCUGGCGGCGUGGAUUAGGCAUGCAAGUCGAACGGUAUCAUCCUUUCGGGGGUGAGAGAGUGGCGAACUGGUGAGUAACACGUAGGUUAUCUACCCUCAAGACGGGGACAACCCAGGGAAACUUGGGCUAAUACCGGAUGUGAGCAACUUUUAGUUGUUUGAAAGGUGGCGUAAGCUGUCGCUUGGGGAUGAGCCUGCGUCCUAUUAGUUAGUUGGUGAGGUAACGGCUCACCUAGGCAAUGAUAGGUAGGCGGCCUUAACGGGUGGUCGCCCACACUGGGAUUGAGAUACGGCCCAGACUCCUACGGGAGGCAGCAGUCGAGAAUAGUCUACAAUGGCCGAAAGGCUGAUAGUGCGACGCCGCGUGAACGAAGAAGCCCUUCGGGGUGUAAAGUUCUUUUUGAGGGGAAGAGGAAGGACGGUACCCUCAGAAUAAGCCUCGGCUAACUACGUG
rnacentral:rRNA from 1 species